AUUCUCAGAUAAAUACAGGAGCAACCUGUCCAAAGUCAGACAUUUUCCUUAACAAUUACUGAAUAGCAUCAACACCAAAAAGAGAAACCAUGAGGCCAGUGAUCGCGCUGUUCUUCGCACUGAUGAUGAUGAGUGCACUGGUGUGCAAUGUCUAUGCUGCAUGUGAGAAUGGGGGGUGUUACCGGAAAUGCGAAAAAAAUCAACAAAUUGACCAUAAUUCAUACUGUGGUGGUGGAAAUGUAUGCUGUGUUAACAAAGGAGAUGGUGGCUGGUGAGGACUAUGGAAGAAUGUGAACUAUUAUGACUAUUAUGACUAUCAAGCAGCAUGAUUAUUAACACAUUGAUAUUGUUUCUAAUCAAUAGUGGUCUGUUUAGAAAUGACUUUGUUUGAUGCAAAUUUCAUUAAAAAAUGAAUGGAUUCCA